GCGAGUGUGGCGGAAUUGGUAGACGCGCAUGCUUGAGGGGCAUGUGGUUCUUGACCGUGGGGGUUCGAGUCCCCCCAUUCGCA
rnacentral:tRNA from 1 species